AUCCUGGCUCAGGAUGAACGCUAGCGGCAGGCUUAACACAUGCAAGUCGAGGGGCAGCGCGUUGUAGCAAUACGAUGGCGGCGACCGGCGAAAGGGUGCGUAACGCGUGAGCAACCUGCCCGUAUCCGGGACAUAAGCGGUGGAAACGCCGUCUAAUUUCCCAUAACAACGAGGGCCGCAUGGUCCAUGUUUGAAAGAUGCGUCGGAUACGGAUGGGCUCGCGAGACAUUAGCUAGUCGGCGUGGUAACGGCACACCGAGGCGACGAUGUCUAGGGGUUCUGAGAGGAAGGUCCCCCACACUGGUACUGAGACACGGACCAGACUCCUACGGGAGGCAGCAGUGAGGAAUAUUGGUCAAUGGGCGCGAGCCUGAACCAGCCAAGUAGCGUGCAGGAUGACGGCCCUAUGGGUUGUAAACUGCUUUUAUACAGGGAUAAAGUGGCCCACGUGUGGGUUAUUGCAGGUACCGCGAGAAUAAGGACCGGCUAAUUCCGUGCC
rnacentral:rRNA from 1 species